UGAGCUACGUGCCUGACUUCUCGGACACCA
rnacentral:piRNA from 2 species